NAUAACCGAAUAUUUUUUUUUUUGGUCUUUGGGAAGGUCAUUUUGGUUUUGGAUUCGGGACGAAUAGGUUCAAGAGAUGAGAGAAUUAAGGAUACCCACUCGAAAGACUAACCCAAUCUAUAAUGAUGUACCAAAAAAUACAACAUUUUUGUUACUUGACCAACCAUCAAGGGAAGCAAAUACAGCGGGUACACUAUCAAUAAGAUUGUUGAAGUAGCAAUUAAUGCAAAAACAAUCAAUUGGAAAACAAGAGUCAUGCUUUUAAUCCUCUAAGAUACCAACAAAUGAACUAUACCAUUUGAUCCCUCUAUCAGCCCAAAAAUUGUAAUA
rnacentral:lncRNA from 1 species